rnacentral:pre_miRNA from 1 species
ACAACAUUCGGACCGUCGGUCUACCGAGCAAUAUCCCCGCUCGAUGAGGAGAUCUUCCUUUCGUCGU